CCUACGGGUGACUGCAGUGAGGAAUAUUGGUCAAUGGCCGGAAGGCUGAACCUGCCAAGCCGCGUGAAGGACGAAGGUGCCAAGCAUUGUAAACUUCUUUUGUCAAGGGACAAAAUCAGGCUCGAGAGCCUGACCGAGGGUACUUGAAGAAAAAGCAUCGGCUAACUCCGUGCCAGCAGCCGCGGUAAUACGGAGGAUGCGAGCGUUAUCCGGAUUUAUGGGGUUUAAAGGGUGCGUAGGCGGGCUGUUAAGUCAGCGGUAAAAGCCCGGGGCUCAACCCAGGCGAGCCGUUGAAACUGGCUGUCUUGAGAUGUCGAGAGGUAUGCGGAAUGCGCAGUGUAGCGGUGAAAUGCUUAGAUAUUGCGCAGAACUCCGAUUGCGAAGGCAGCAUACCGGCGGCGAUCUGACGCUGAGGCACGAAAGCGUGGGUAUCGAACAGGAUUAGAUACCCGGGUAGUC
rnacentral:rRNA from 1 species